GACGAACGCUGGCGGCGUGCUUAACACAUGCAAGUCGAACGGAAAGGCCCUGCUUGCAGGGUACUCGAGUGGCGAACGGGUGAGUAACACGUGGGUGAUCUGCCCUGCACUUCGGGAUAAGCCUGGGAAACUGGGCCUAAUACCGGAUAGGAGCCAUUUUUAGCGGGAUGGUUGGAAAGUUUUUUCGGUGUAGGAUGAGCUCGCGGCCUAUCAGCUUGUUGGUGGGGUAAUGGCCUACCAAGGCGGCGACGGGUAGCCGGCCUGAGGGGGUGGACGGCCACCUUGGGUCUGAGAUGCGGCCCCGACUCCUACGGGAGGCCGCAGUGGGGAAUAUUGCCCAAUGGACGCCAGCCUGAUGCAGCGGCGCCGCGUGGGGGAUGACGGCCUUCGGGUUGUAGACUCCUUUCGCUAGGAACGAAGCUUUUUGUGACGGUACCUAGAUAAGAAGCACCGGCUAACUACGUG
rnacentral:rRNA from 1 species